GGUCCUGGUGGGUUCCUGGUGGUCCCAUGAGAUCCUGGUGGUCUUUUUGGGAUCCUGGUGGUCUUUUUGGGGUUCCUGAUGGUCCCCAUGACAUCCUGGUGGUCCCAUGAGAUCCUGGUGGUCCCAUGAGAUCCUGGUGGUCUUUUUGGGUUCCUGAUGGUCCCCGUGGGUUCCUGGUGGGUUCCCAGUGGUAUUUUGGGUUCCUGGUGGUCCCUUUGAGAUCCUGGUGGUCUUUUUGGGGUCCUGAUGGUCUUUCUUGGGUUCCUGGUGGUCUCCAUGGAUUCCUGGUGGACCC